AUUGAACGCUGGCGGCAGACCUAACACAUGCAAGUCGAACGAGCGGCGGACGGGUGAGUAAUGUCUGGGAAACUGCCCGAUGGAGGGGGAUAACUACUGGAAACGGUAGCUAAUACCGCAUACUAUCAAAUGAACCCAGAUGGGAUUAGCUAGUUGGUGGGGUAACGGCUCACCAAGGCGACGAUCCCUAGCUGGUCUGAGAGGAUGACCAGCCACACUGGAACUGAGACACGGUCCAGAGUCCUACGUGAGGCAGCAGUGGGGAAUAUUGCACAAUGGGCGCAAGCCUGAUGCAGCCAUGCCGCGUGUAUGAAGAAGGCCUUCGGGUUGUAAAGUACUUUCAGCGGGGAGGCGUUACCCGCAGAAGAAGCACCGGCUAACUCCGUGCCAGCAGCCGCGGUAAUAC
rnacentral:rRNA from 1 species